GAGUGGACAUUUCUAGAUAAAUUCCAGCCGUACUAGGAUAUGGGGCCCAGAUACUCUGAUGCCAAAUUCAGGGGUGUCUCAGUCAUCCUGCCCUGCCCUCCAAGUUGUAGAUUCAAUCUGCCUCAGUCAAUCAGUGUUCAUAUUUAUGGCCCUCUUUGUCACCAGCCCCUCAGCCUUCCCCACUUCUCCUGCUCAGCUCCCAACUCCCUUUAUCUACAAAACUAGGUGCUGCAGCCCCAGGACUGGCCACCCUUAAAAUGACCCUUGCCCAGCAAUGGGAGCUGGGAGACAGCAUAGGAGGGUUCCCUGGCAAACCCUGCUCUAGAGCCACUAC
rnacentral:lncRNA from 1 species